UGGAUUUGAAAGGACAAAUAUACUUGAUUGGCGUCUUUAGGUAUUGUAUAAGUUGACAUGAGUUUGAUUUCUUGCUAUUUUGAUCAAUUUGUUUGCAGGAAUUUGUUCCACAUCUCCUUGUACCAAGAGCAGAUCUGCGCCCCACCUCUCCAGUGUUGGCUCAUUGGCCACCGCGGAUCCUAGCUGUCCUUGGGACGCCAUCAACAGGUUUGAUUAGUUUCUGUAUGUAGAUAGGGUGCUUGAUAAUUUUUCUAAUUGAAAAUUGUGCUCUUUUUCGAUUCAAUACCACAACAUAGCAUCUCUAUAAAUUAAGAUUUGGCUGCUACUGGUAUGUGUAUUAUGAACUUUUGCUAAUUUUUGUUGUGUACUGUCCAGGUGUUGUAUAAUGCUGUUACUUGCUGGUGAUGUUGUUUCUGUGCUGCCUAUGGAGUGACAAUAACGACAUUCAAUUAUGAUGCGUUUGACCGUAACACAAAGAUUAAGGAAAUUAAUUACCAUUUGUCGAUUGACGACUUGAAAAGAAGCAUGGAGGCAACAAAUGGGGUAUUAUUUUGAUCUCAUCUCACACAUUCAAUUACUCUUUGUCCUACUAUAUGGCUUUUUAUUAGUUAUUUACACAUACUCGAUGCAUUGCAAAAUGUCUGUUUCUGGAAAUCGCCAUAUCCCGUAUCCCCGCAACCGUAUUGUCGUAUUUGUCGCUCUAUCAGUGCUUCAUUGGUCUAGGUAAAAAUGUGUAGAUUUCCUUUAUUUUGCGCAUAUUCUCUUCAAUCAGUGUUGUUACUUUUUGUGCUUGGUGUUUUAUUCCAGCCAGAUGCAAGCGGCAAAAGGCGACUGGGAUUAACCAUCGAUGCUGGUUUUCAUAUCCAAAUACCGGUCUUUGUUGGUAUGUACAUGAGAUGGGGGAAAUCAUGCCUUAAGAGAGCCAGAUGCGGAAGGUACUGUUUAAGAAAUCCGGAUGCUUGCUUGUAAUAUGUUUACAUUGUUUACUCAUGUACAUAUUCCUUUUGUAGAUGUUCCUUUAGGAUUUCUAAAAUUGUUUGUUUACUCAUGUACAUUGUUUGCAUCUGUGAAUAUAUUUUUAUAUUUAGGGAUUUUCCAUUGCCUCUAGAAAGUUGUUUGUUUCAUCCAACGCUUAUGUGUGGUUUUGCAACUACUAAUUUCUGUUAUCUCUAUGUUUGUUGGUGUAUGGCUGCUGCUUUUGCCUUCAUGGGAAAUGAUUAGGCAGGCUGACUACAUAGUAAUUGUUAGUACUCUUUGAUGAUAGAGAAGUAAAGAACUUGUUGUUACUGCAAACUCAGGCUAUGCUAUUGAAAAUGACAUCAGGGGACAGGUAUAUUGAACAUGUGUUGAUCCACUAAUGAUUAGUUUGUUCUUCAGUAACUUCUUCUUCAGUAUCAUAGUUAGUAAACAUAUGAGGUUUGGCAAGUUAGUAUUUACCAUUGAUGCUUGAAAUAAAUAGCAUGACUGGUGUUGCACCAUGUGUGUGUAGGUUUUUCCU
rnacentral:lncRNA from 1 species